AUGAGUUUAGCCAGGGUUUGGGGCAUGUAUGAUGAUGAGUUAAAGCUAAGGAUCAGGGAAAGUGUAGUUCAAGCUGAAGAAAAUUUUAGGGUUGUGAAAGAGAGGGAAAAGAUGGAAAAUGAUCUGAGGUUUUUUAAACUAGAUUUUGCUAAGAUGGUGGCUGACAAGGAGCAGGUAAUUACUGAAUUGGGCAAUGCAAGACUUGCUCUUUCUGACAUAAAGGAAGAGCUUGAGAAGAAGAAGAUGUCUGAUAAGUCUACCACUACCAUUCAUCAGGUUGUGAGGGCUAAGGCAGAGAAAGAGAGGGAUGAGAUGAAGCAACAGAUGGACAGCAUGAAGGAAGAGUUGGACAAAGUGUUGUCACAGAGGGAUGAGCUGAAGAAGGAGAAGAAGAAACUAGAGUACAUGAUUGGUGAUCUAUUCAGGCACAAGGAGGAGACCAAGAGCAAGAUAAGGAGGGUGAAGGAGAUCUUAGAUGAAGUUGAGUAA
rnacentral:rRNA from 1 species